rnacentral:rRNA from 1 species
GAUGAACGCUGGCGGCGUGCCUAACACAUGCAAGUCGAGCGAUUUACUUCGGUAAAGAGCGGCGGACGGGUGAGUAACGCGUGGGUAACCUGCCCUGUACACACGGAUAACAUACCGAAAGGUAUGCCAAUACGAGAUAAUAUGCUUUUAUCGCAUGGUAGAAGUAUCAAAGCUCCGGCGGUACAGGAUGGACCCGCGUCUGAUUAGCUAGUUGGUAAGGUAACGGCUUACCAAGGCGACGAUCAGUAGCCGACCUGAGAGGGUGAUCGGCCACAUUGGAACUGAGACACGGUCCAAACUCCUACGGGAGGCAGCAGUGGGGAAUAUUGCACAAUGGGCGAAAGCCUGAUGCAGCAACGCCGCGUGAGCGAUGAAGGCCUUCGGGUCGUAAAGCUCUGUCCUCAAGGAAGAUAAUGACGGUACUUGAGGAGGAAGCCCCGGCUAACUACGUGCCAGCAGCCGCGGUAA